UACGUAGUCAGUAUUUGAGAUAGUUUUCUGCUUUGAAAGUAGGUUUUGAAGAUUCUUUUCUUCCUGUUUUU
rnacentral:tRNA from 1 species